rnacentral:misc_RNA from 1 species
AAGUGGUGCAAAGAUAUCGAAUCUACAUCAUGGCUGAAACGUGGGUGUUUACUUUUAAAACAUCCGUACUGCAACAGUAAAUAGUUGCACUGAUUCAUGUUUCGUUUGUGUUCUAGAAGACGUGAACACCUGCAUGCUACGACGUUUGUAUUUCGCAGUCCAGAGUGUGAGGGAUUUAAGUCGCUGAUGAGGCUAACUUCUACGCACCCACUUUCAAUCGCUUCAGCUACGCUGCUACAGUGUUUGUGUCCCUGGAUCACAGAAGGUGACAGUCCGCAUCAGCAACCAUGAAGAAGGUGCAAGAAUAUGUGCACAGGUUCCGCACAGGCAGCAGUAGCUCAGGUGCUGAGACAAAAUUAUUUGGUGGAGAUACAGCACCUGCAUCCUCUGCAUCAAUGCCUUCAUCACCAGCAACUACAAGUAAAACUUCUUUUGAAGAAACAAGGAGAACAGGGGACAACAGGCAUAAACAAGGGACUAGCAGUGAGAGUUCCUCAGUGUGGUAUGUUGAAAACCAAGUUGACCUGACUAUGAAACCACCAGAACUGAGCUCUCUGCCCAUGAUGACACCCUCAGGGCUGCAACACACUGUUCUAUCAGCACUUGCUCAGUCGGAUCCCACCCCCAUCUUUGAAUCCUCAUUUGUUCAGUCAGGCCAAAGCAAACAGGAAUCACGAAAAACACAGCCGAUGGGCACUUUUGAGUAUUGUGUUAAGCCAUCAGAUACGCUUGAGAGAAUUGCAGCUCACCAUGAUGUCACACCAUCUGAGCUACAAAAACUCAAUCGUUUGACAUCACGCAUGGUUUUCACUGGACAGAUUCUAUACAUACCUGACCCAAACUUUGUACCCAGUGGUCCUCCAACCCCAGAAUCAGUCAUUUCUUCAAGCAGCCUUGCAGACUUCAGACCAAAGCUGGAUAUUCCCAUCAUCAAAAUGGCUGACAAGUCACCAGAACAUGUACCAGGUCAUGUCAUGAAAGUAUCAUCCCCUGUAACUGUGACUGCACCAACGCCAACAUCGUUCAUACCACCACGUGUUCUAAGUGAAGAGGAAGCUAAACAGCUGGAUGAAGAGUGCUUUGAGCGCUUUAUCAAGCUCACAGCGAAAUACAUUUCUGAUGGCAUGGGUGUAGUACCAGGGACCCUGCUUGUGACACCCAAUGCCAUCAUGUUUGAUCCUAAUGCCAAUGACCCCUUAGUUAUGGAAAAUGGGCCUGAGAACUAUGGAGUCAUUGUUGUGAUGGAAUCCAUCCAGUCAGCUGCACUUUACCAUGAUCCUGCUGCAAUGACAUACUGCAAGCUUAGCAACUUGGAACGUAAUUCUUCACCAAAACCAGCAGUCUACCACGGAGAAACAAAAUCUUGUGCUCAGUCUGCAUCAGAAGAGAUGACUUUCUCAUCAAAGACAGUUACUGGUGGUAGCUCAGUGCUGGAUAGUUUACAGGGAGUAACUACAAAAAACAGCAUUUCAGGUUUGUCUCCUUUCUUUGAACACUCAGAGAAGAUCAUUCAGGACAAAGAUCACCAAAAUGUGUCAAGAUUAUCAUCCUUUUUCUCAGGAACUAGUGAGUCUAGUGCUCAUGGCAUAAAUGACAACAGUGCUAUGGUAUCUUCUCCAGAUAUUCGAGAAAGAAAUAAAAUUGAAAUUUAUGACAAAGGACCAGUCAUGGAUACCAUGACUGAUAAAGCGGUGGAUAAAAAGAGGUUCUUGAAGAUUGCAAACUGGGAAGAAGAUAAAACUACUGAUAAUACAGGCGAUUCUUCUUGUGUAAACUUAAUGCCCAUCCCAGAUUCUGAGCAAAUUUCCAGCUUAGGCAUUUUUCAAGAUACCGGAGAUGUUUCUGAGAAUGUUACCCUAAUGCAUGGAUCUGGGUCAUUAACCCCUAUCUGUGACACAGUCGUAAAACAGUUUGGUUCAGAUGAAGAUUAUUCUUUGCUCUUAGAAAAAACAAAACAAUUACCUGACACUACUUUUGUCACACCUGCAAGUGUCACAUCUACAUCUUUUAGUUUGAAUGAGGUGCAGAUAAAUAAUGUGAGCCCUUGUAUAUCAGUCAGUUCGACCACCAUACUACAGGAAGAGGAAGCAGAAGAAAAGUCUUGUACACAUUUUGAUGACAAACCAGCUUCUUCUUUACUUAGAAGUGAUAAAAGCCCCUCAAUGGAUGGCAUUCUUAGGGUUGAUACAGCAGAAUCUAUAAAACCAGCUGAUGGCCAGGCAGAUUUGCAAGAUUUUUCAAAACAUCUUAUGACAAUGAUUUAUGAACCUGCAAGGGAGCAAACAGGUCUUGACAGUGUUAGAGAAAUUGACUCUAAAUUAGUUUUGAUUGAAGGGGAAGGCAUAGAGGCUACUGUAAGUUCAUGUAAGAACAAACAAGGUCAGUGCGUUGAUAAGGGAUUAGGUGAUGGAGUUAAUGCUAGUAAUGUUCAGCAAUCAAAAGGUGAAUAUGAAGCCGGUGAUCGAAGACAUCCAGUUGAAACAGACACUACAGAUGAGCUGAGCUGCAAAGCAGAUGCAGUAGAUAGACAGAAAAUAGAAGAAAAAAGAAUUGGAAAUAUAGUUUAUGUACCUUUCGAAAAAAAACAGGAAGGAGAAAUGAUAUUUCAUAGCCACUAUUCAGGUCUUUUGCCCACAGCUCCAUUUAAUUCUCUAAUAACUGUAGAUUCUGAAGCAGACCUGAAUACAAGAGAUUUAGUUGAAGAUUCUGCGACAUCAAGUGGUGGAAGUAAGCCUCGAACUUCAUCAGGGUCUUUUAGUCCUCUACGAUCAUCGGCACAGCACAUUAGCAGCUUUGUCAACUAUGCCACAGGACUUUUCCGAAGCACAAAUGAAGACCGCACCCAUGUCAAAGAUGUCACAGAUAGCACUCCAAGCUCCAGUGAGAAGACCAUCUCAUCAGAGAAUGAACACUUAAAACAAAAACAGAGCAAUUUACAGCCAGACAAGGCCAAACAAGCACAUUCUAUUGAUGUGGAGAAUGCAAUCAAAGCAGAUGAGAGACCAAACUUAUUCCAGCCAAUUGAAAAGUUAAUACCACGGCCAGCAGUCUCAGAUACUCAGCCUCCAUUGUAUCUUCACCUGCAUGUAGGGCAGGAUCAGGAGCACAGAAAUGUAACAACUUCUGUGCCUUGGGAGACAUAUCGAAAGUCCAGUCCUAAACCAGACUAUUGGUUCUCUGUUCCAAGGGCCAAGGCUGAUAACUUGUAUGCAUUCUUCGUUCAGUGGAGACCAGAAAUUUAUGGUGAUUCUGAUGACUUUGAUCCUGAAGAACAGGGUUUUGUGGUUGUACAAGAACCAGACAUACCCUUGGAGUCUGUGGAUGAAAACCUGCAGGUUGUGGAAGAACACUUUGGAGGGACUAAGACAUCCUUUAAAAAAGACUGGGAGAUUGUAAGCUGGAAAGAGGCCCUUCGUCGACAGUCAGUUGAUACAGAGCCCUCAAUUAUGCCAGAGCUCAAUGAUGAAUCAUCUAUCUUGAAUGCCAAACAGAUUUAUGAAUUAUCUGAGAGUCUUCCGCCACGCACCAUUGGGUACAAAUGGUCUCUUAUAUAUAGCACAGCAAAGCAUGGUUUCAGCUUAAAUCGACUGUACCGUGAAAUGGCCCACCUGGACUCACCUGUUCUACUAGUUGUUAUGGAUACUGCAGGAUACAUUUUUGGAGCUUUUAUCAACACUCCUCUAAAGGUCAGUGACCACUUUUAUGGAACCGGGGAGUGCUGCCUAUGGGCUUUUCGAAACGAACUCAAGAUGUACAGAUGGACUGGACAAAAUACUUUUUUCAUCAAAGGAAACUUUGACAGCAUUUCUAUUGGAGCAUCAGAGGGAAAAUUUGGGCUGUGGCUUGAUGGAGACUUGUACCAUGGAAGGAGUCACCGUUGUUCAACCUUUGACAAUGAGGUGCUCAGUUCCAGUGAAGAUUUCCUGUUAAAGGGCUUAGAAGCUUGGUCCUUUGGGGACUAAAAGAAAAACACGAGAGCAUUAUUUCAGUGUUCAAGAUCCUUGUACCAACAAAUGUCAGAGAAACAAGGCCUGUGUCCUACAGUUUAUCUGACCAGCUGUGUUUUAGCUGUGAUGCAGCAGUUCAGUAUUGUAACAAUUCAUUAACCAGGAUUCCCACAGUUGUGCUGAGUGUGAUGCAUUGCAGUAGACUCUGACUAUAAUUGCCAUCAUUUGUUGUAUGACCUGCAAUGGAUCAUUUGGGGACCUCAGAAUAAAUUUCUGUUGGUCUUCAUCUUGCUGUGCACUUUAAUGCAUUGUAUUUGAAACAGUUCAGUUUUAAAUAGGUUGAGAGAUGACCUCACAUAGUUGUAUUUGUUAUUUUCAACACAGUUGCAUACAUAGUAUUAUACUUGAUAUAAGUACAAAGAUAAAUAUGCAGAAUAUUUAAAGUCAUGAUUUAAAAUAGCUCACAUCAGCUCUGAAGAUGAAUAUAAAGAGGAAUUUUCAUCUGUUCAUAGGUGUCUUUAGUGACAGGUCUUCUGUCACAACAAAAAAUAAUCAGUGGAAGUCAAAAGAAAACCAUAGUAAUACCCUCAUGGCUUGAUGGCAACUGUUUUUAAAAUAAGAGAAGGAUUAUGGCCUAAAAACACCAAGAAGAAAUGUGCUGAAAAAAACAUGUUCUUGUGACACACCCUAGCAGGAAGAUAACAAUUUGUUGAUUCUAUCCACUUUUAUAGUUUGUUAUUGCUUGACAAAUUCAUCCCUGAAAAUUUAUAGAACACUAUUAAAGGUUGAAAAUAAAAUUGAUUUAGUGGGGAGUUUUUGUUGUUUUUUUUUCACAUUGAGACGUACUUUGUUCACAAACAUAUAUCAGUUGUUUUGGGGUGCAUCAAAAACUUGAUGGUGGCACCUAAUAUUAGGAAUUUUCUGCACCCAAGACAUCAAGAAAAAAGUAAUAAAAUAGCCAUAAAUAUAUUUCUAAAAACUUGCUUGUAAACAAUAGUUUGAGUGUAAAAUGUUCUUACCUGAAAUCAGUCAUUGGGUUUAUUUUAACAGUGUGAAAAUGUACACUUGGGAGGGGGGAAUGGAAAUCAAAGCACACACUCCAGAUCUAAGCAUAUAACUCAUUGUAACUGAACACAUCACUGUUAACAUCACGAGUUUGAAGCUGAUUACUGCAUUAAAAUUUUAAGAAUUUUUUUAUUGAUAAUUUAAUAUGAAUGUUAUAACAUUUUUACUGUCACCAUAAUCUACUGAAGAGUGCGGUUGUCAUCUUGGCUGAGAACUAAGAAAACAUUUGACUUUAUUUUUUCAACAUUUUUCUUUUAAAUGGAUUUUUCAGAAAAAUAAUUUUCUAAGAAAUUGGUUAGCUUUUAAAUGCAGCAAUUUCUUCCCUAUUAUUGCUCUCAAGUAGAAAUACUUCAUUGAAAUCUCUUUCCACCAUUUGUUUACAGAGAAUUAAUUCCAUGUGUCUGUCCAAAAAAAACAACAAAAAAAAACCAAAAUGAAUGGCAUGUAUUGAGACAUGUUUGUGUGGAUCAGAGGUAAAUUAUUUGUUUCUUUGAACUAAGUUUUAACCUGGUCAAAGUGAGUCACCCAGAAUCAAUUGCUGCCAUGCUAUUGUAGUAUUUAUCAUCAUCUUUUCAUUUGAAAUUAUUUUAACUCCUGUUUUUCUUGAUUAUUUUCAUGUUUAUUUUUAUUGCUAUGAAUUUUACAAUGUUUUCAUUUUUUAGUUUGGAUUACAAUGUUUAUAAACAUUUCUUUCUAAAAGUUUUCUCUUGAAGGCAGAAACAAACCACCAUCCAACCCCUUUUCCUUAGUUUGUUGAACACAAAGAACCAGAGAUAAGACAUAAUCUCUUCCAUGUAUUGCCAAUCUUUGUAAACAGAUUCUACCUAGGAAAGCUUUGCUUUGAAAUUAGAAUUAACUGUCAACAUCUUAUCUUUUACUGCUGUCUCUACACUUAUGUUUACUGGCAUCCACAUAUUCUCUAUGGAUCUAAAUUGAAUGCAGAAUUGUUAAUUAUAAAUAGCUGGGAACCAAGCCACAUGGCACUUAAAACUUAAUCAAUCUUCUCUAAGAAUAAUGCUUAAGUUUUUCAUGACAUGUCAUGCUAAUACUUUGUUGUGUAUUUUAAUCUGUGCUAACACAAUGAAAGAGUGCCGUUUAUUGACACAAUCAUACUAUUAAAAAUUAAUAAGAUUUUAUAAUAGCUUUGUAAUCUGCUAUCACACUGAAACUCCCUGAAUAGUUUUAUGUGAUACACAACUCCUCUGUGGUGGAAACUUCUGUACUAUCAAUGUAUGGGGACUUUUUAAUUUUCAGAAAAUGUGACACAUAUUGAGAUAUGUUCUACAGUGAACUAUUUUGUGCAGCUGUUGCUAUUUUGGAUUGUUAUACAGCUUUUUGGAAAGAACUGCUGUUGUGUCUGUAGUUUGUAAGCAGAUACUAAUAGUUAACAUAUUAACAUCUAUUUAUAAAAUACGGAUGUUUUCAUGGAAUAAUAAGGAAGUCUCAUUGUUCAUUGUUGCGGAGUUAUCUAAAUUUUUAAAAACGUUUGAAGGAAGUGCACCCGAGCAUAAAAUACUUAAAGAUCUAUUGUUUAAAAUGGUUCACUUUGAUAAUUUACUUGUACAUAUGUCAGAUUUCAAUAUUAUUAGGAAACCUGUUCAAGAGUUUGCCAUAUGACACAUUGAGUAUUUGAACUCAGCAGUUAACUCUUGUGCAUUUGACAACAGUGCAAUUAGGUCCUCUUGCUGAUGCUAAAAAGCUGGCAGUGUGGCAGAGGUCCUUUACCGGUUCUGCAGUUAGGUCUAUAGAGGUCACCCCUUUUGACCACAGCUCCUGGUGCUAUGCUUUGUGGAUGAGGCAGUCCUGUAGAAUGUGUUUUGGAAUCUGCUGUGAGGUUUAACUUACACUGGACUGAGCCUGCAGUGCCAUUCUUCUUAAGAUAAGCAUUCAUACCACAGUUAGAAGCAGUAGAUGAAAGGUCUGUGUUUUACAUGUUUGGAUCUCUCAAAAAAACAACAACAAACAACUAGUGGAUUAAUACAGAAGUUAUUUCUGCUGCCAUGUGCAUGUGCACAAACAAACAGCUUGGUGAAAUUUCUCUUUGUAGUUUGAUUUAAACAUGAUCCUAUUGACUUUUUUCCCCAGAAUUAAUCUAUUUAGUUUAAUAUUUACUUUUACUGAUGUUAUGUGAUUUUCUUCUUGCAUUUUAUGUGAGUCUGAAGAGAUAUAGACCAUGCUGAAUAACAAGUGUUGAUUUCAGUUGUUGAACCGCUCUGUUCUCAGAUUUGAAAGGAAAUACAUGAAUAUUUUCAGUUUGAAGCUGUGUGUCGUUCUGAGAUAGAAAAUUAAACUUGCCUUAACUGUUUCUUUAUUAACAAAAGAGUUUAAAAAGUAAUGAAAGGAUGGAAAUAACUCAAUAUCUUGUCUUAACACAGACUGCUACAUAUUUCAUGUUGGUCAUUUGGGAACGAUAAUAAAGUCAUGCCACAGGGUUCUCACCGCUCCCCCAGCUCAUAAAUGUGUGUGCUCACUUGAUCAAAAGUUUUAUCUGUAAACAAUAAGCAAAGCAGUUCGAAAAGAUAGAGAAUGAAAUUUUUGAAAUUCUACAGAGUAUUGGUAUAUAUAAAAUUCCAUCAAGGCAUGAAACAUUUAUGGUGAAAGAAGUUCCAUUAAUAUUAUAAUUACCAAAAGUUCAUCACAAAUAUUUUCAUAAUUUUUUGAAUUUCUUUAGCUUGCCAAAAAUCUAUAAAUAUCUGAUUACCCAGGAAGUGGUGUGAGCUAAUUUCUGUGAAAAACCUUGGAACGUUAAAACAUUCUGCAAAUACUAAUAAUGAUUCUUAGUCUUCAAUGCAUUUGACACUGAAGAAAUGAAUAGAAAGGAAAUGGUUAUAUUAUAAUUGUACCUCUGAAGAUGCUUAAUACUACAAGGACUGUUUCUUUUAUUGUUCAUUUUUCAUUUAGAGUGUGACCAUUACGCUCUGAUUGAAGAGUGAAGAAGAUUUUUAAUAAAACUGCGUGUUGUUAA